rnacentral:tRNA from 1 species
GCCGAAGUGGCGGAAUUUGGGAGACGCACUGGACUCAGGAUCCAGGGGGCGUUAAGCCCGUGGGGGUUCGAGUCCCCCCUUCGGCACCA